UCGAGUCUUUGAACGCAAGUUGCGCCCGAGGCCAACCGGCCGAGGGCACGUCCGCCUGGGCGUCAAGCGUUGCGUCGCUCCGUGCCACGAGGCCCGGAUGCGCAGAGUGGCUCGUCGUGCCGACCGGCGCG
rnacentral:rRNA from 1 species